AAAAGGAUGGCCCUGAAAGCAAAACUAGGUUCAAAGUUCAGAUGUGGGUUGUGAGAAGAGAGAGGUAUGGAGGCAUAUGGACUCUUCCAGUACCCUAGGGUCCAGGAGGGUGCCAGAAACUGCUGUCUCUCACCUGUUGAUGGAGCUGACACUGGGGACAGUGUCAUUGUCACAAACGCCUUCUGCCAGGAGCCGGUCCCGGAUCUCCCAAGCAAACAUGCUGGAAAUAAGUACAUCCAAACUUAUAUCUGGAUGUAACGCUCCCAUGUUUAAGAAUGGUUAAAGAAAAGACAAGGCAUCCUUUCAUUCAUGUUUUCUCAAGACUCGGGAUGAGCAGAGAUAAAAGAGAGAAAGCCACAGCCUACAGCUCAGAAAAUUAUCAAGGUGUUGAUCAGAGGGCAGAUUGCUUGCAAGAGAUGGUCUUCUCUUUCCAGAGUACAAGUAUUUCCCUAGCUCACUCAGGAAAAGUGAAACAGCCUUUACAGAGGCUUUGCCAGUCCUCCCGUGUCAGCAGUGUUUGCCAUAGCAUAGUCUUCAACUGUGCCCCCCUCUUUCCUUCUACAUGCUGUAAAUAAAGACUCUGCUCCCA
rnacentral:lncRNA from 1 species